GAUAAACGCUGGCGGCGCACAUAAGACAUGCAAGUCGAACGAACUUAACCUUUAGUUUACUAUUGGAGCGGUUAGUGGCGGACUGGUGAGUAACACGUAAGCAACCUGCCUAUUAGAGGGGAACAACAGUUAGAAAUGACUGCUAAUACCGCAUAUGCCUUGAGUUACGCAUGUAACAAAAGGGAAAGGAGCAAUCCGCUAAUAGAUGGGCUUGCGUCUGAUUAGAUAGUUGGUGGGGUAAAGGCCUACCAAGUCGACGAUCAGUAGCCGAACUGAGAGGUUGAACGGCCACAUUGGGACUGAGAUACGGCCCAGACUCCUACGGGAGGCAGCAGUCGGGAAUAUUGCGCAAUGGAGGAAACUCUGACGCAGUGACGCCGCGUGCAGGAAGAAGGUUUUCGGAUUGUAAACUGCUUUAGACAGGGAAGAAACAAGACAGUACCUGUAGAAUAAGCUCCGGCUAACUACGUGCCAGCAGCCGCGGUAAUACGUAGGGAGCAAGCGUUAUCCGGAUUUAUUGGGUGUAAAGGGUGCGUAGACGGGAAGGCAAGUUAGUUGUGAAAUCCCUCGGCUUAACUGAGGAACUGCAACUAAAACUAUCUUUCUUGAGUGCUGGAGAGGAAAGUGGAAUUCCUAGUGUAGCGGUGAAAUGCGUAGAUAUUAGGAGGAACACCAGUGGCGAAGGCGACUUUCUGGACAGUAACUGACGUUGAGGCACGAAAGUGUGGGGAGCAAACAGGAUUAGAUACCCUGGUAGUCCACGCCGUAAACGAUGGAUACUAGGUGUAGGGGAUGAAUAAUCUUCUGUGCCGUCGCAAACGCAGUAAGUAUCCCACCUGGGGAGUACGGCCGCAAGGUUGAAACUCAAAGGAAUUGACGGGGGCCCGCACAAGCAGUGGAGUAUGUGGUUUAAUUCGACGCAACGCGAAGAACCUUACCAGGGCUUGACAUAUAGAGGAAUAUAUUAGAGAUAAUAUAGCUCUUUGGAGUCUCUAUACAGGUGGUGCAUGGUUGUCGUCAGCUCGUGUCGUGAGAUGUUGGGUUAAGUCCCGCAACGAGCGCAACCCCUGUUCUUAGUUGCCAGCGCGUAGAGGUGGGAACUCUAAGAAGACUGCCGGUGAUAAAUCGGAGGAAGGUGGGGACGACGUCAAAUCAUCAUGCCCUUUAUGUCCUGGGCUACACACGUACUACAAUGGCUGUAACAAAGGGAAGCGAAGGAGCGAUCUGGAGCAAAACCCAAAAAAGCAGUCUCAGUUCGGAUUGAAGGCUGAAAUUCGCCUUCAUGAAGCCGGAAUUGCUAGUAAUGGCAGGUCAGCAUACUGCCGUGAAUACG
rnacentral:rRNA from 1 species